rfam:Corchorus olitorius cultivar O-4 contig16425, whole genome shotgun sequence.
UUUGAGAGGAAUGUUGGCUGGCUCGAUGCGCUGGGCUUUGAAAUUAUAGUGAGAUCAAAGUGAAGGUAUAUCGGACCAGGCUUCAUUCCCCUCAAA